rnacentral:rRNA from 1 species
GACAUAGGUGGCAAACGUUAUCCGGAAUUAUUGGGCGUAAAAGGGUGCGUAGGUGGUUUAAUAAGUUACUGGUGGCAAAUCGGGGCCCAACCCCCGUGGAAGUUGGUAAUACUAUUAGACUAGAGGACUGGAGAGGUUAACGGAAUGGUUCAGUGUAGGGGUAAAAUCCGCAGAUAUGAAGUUGGAACACCAAACGGCGAAGGCAGUUAACUAUUCAGUGCCUGACGUUGAGGCACGAAAGCGUGGGUAGCAAGACGG